rnacentral:rRNA from 1 species
UACAGAGGUGGCAAGCGUUGUUCGGAAUUACUGGGCGUAAAGGGCGCGUAGGCGGCCCUCUAAGUCAGACGUGAAAUCCCCCGGCUUAACCUGGGAACUGCGUCUGAUACUGGAGGGCUUGAGUAUGGGAGAGGGAUGUAGAAUUCCAGGUGUAGCGGUGAAAUGCGUAGAUAUCUGGAGGAAUACCGGUGGCGAAGGCGGCAUCCUGGACCAUUACUGACGCUGAGGAGCGAAAGCGUGGGGAGCGAACAGG